rnacentral:lncRNA from 1 species
AGGGUCCCGGCGCCGGCAGCCGUGCUGCGUGUGUUGGGUAGUGCGAGGCGGUCCAGUGCAGCGACAGUCCGGCUCGAGGGCGGAGGGCCAGCCGAAGCGGGGUGGUGGCCGCUGCCCCGGGAAAGACUGUCCAAGAUGCUGACAGGAGCUUUGGCUCGUGAGAUUGAGAGGAAGUCAGACGCCGUGGUCUGUGUAACCCCCCAGUAAGGUCCCCAGCUUGCAACCGAAUUCGGAACCUAGACUUGGAGCCUUCUCCGAAAGCAAAUGGACACAACCCAUCAGCGGCAGCACACAAACUUGAGUCUGUCGUGGCAGGUGGCGCUUCUGCGGCAGAGCAGUGAUCCGCUUGUAGAGAUUUAUGAGCAAA